rnacentral:rRNA from 1 species
CCCAUAUGCUUUUAAGUGAAAUGGAUUUUUCCGCCUAAAGAGAAGCUUGCGGCUGAUUAGCUUGUUGGUGAGGUAAUGGCUCACCAAGGCGACGAUCAGUAUCUGGUUUGAGAGGACGAUCAGACACACUGGAACUGAGACACGGUCCAGACUCCUACGGGAGGCAGCAGUAGGGAAUUUUCCGCAAUGGGCGAAAGCCUGACGGAGCAAUCUCGCGUGAGGGAUGACGGCCUAUGGGUUGUAAACCUCUUUUUUCAGGGAGGAAUAACUGACGUGUACCUGAAGAAUAAGCAUCGGCUAACUCCGUGCCAGCAGCCGCGGUAAGACGGAGGAUGCAAGUGUUAUCCGGAGUCACUGGGCGUAAAGCGUCUGUAGGUGGUUUAAUAAGUCAACUGUUAAAUCUUAAAGCUUAACUUUGAAAUCGCAGUCGAAACUAUUAGACUAGAGUAUAGUAGGGGUAAAGGGAAUUUCCAGUGGAGCGGUGAAAUGCGUAGAGAUUGGAAAGAACACCGAUGGCGAAGGCACUUUACUGGGCUAUUACUAACACUCAGAGACGAAAGCUAGGGUAGCAAAUGGGAUUAGAUACCCCAGUAGUCCUAGCCGUAAACAAUGGAUACUAGAUGUUGAACAGAUCGACCUGUGCAGUAUCAAAGCUAACGCGUUAAGUAUCCCGCCUGGGAAGUAUGCUCGCAAGAGUGAAACUCAAAGGAAUUGACGAGGGGGCACGCGCGUACACUGAUGCAUUCAACGAGUUCUACCUUGGCCGAGAGGCCUGGGCAAUCUUUUGAACCUGCAUCCUGGUUAGUUUCUUUUCCUCCGCUUAAUUAUAUGCUUAAAUUCCCGGAUCUCAAAUCAAGCAAGAAGACCCGCCGAAUUUAAGCAUAUAAUUAAGCG